rnacentral:lncRNA from 1 species
CGGAGCGAAAAGUAGAGAGCGCUUGCUGGUACUAGAUUUUUACCCUUCGGUUAAUACUGCAUCACGGUUGCUGUCAUAAUGACCUUCAUCUGGGCAAAGCAGCUGGAGAGUCAAAUUAUAGUGAGACUGCACAAAAAGAUCGGAGCAAGAAAAUGCCAAGUAUUCCUCCCUCACUUUCUUGCCAGGAGCAUUGGCCCAGUGCUUUGCGACACUGCACAGAAAGUUUAACUUCGUGAUUCUCAUUGUACUACCAAAAAUAGUCAUAUGAAAAUCUGACAGAACUUCCUAAGAAGAAUGCAUUUGUUUCCUUUAGAGAUGGCAUCUUCCAGGGCACCAGAGCUAUAAUACAAAUUAAAGUCUUAACAGCGUAAUGGUGUUAAAUCUACUUGUCUUGUGUUGCAACUCUUUUCUAGAUAAAGUCACUCAGUGUACCUUCCC